rnacentral:rRNA from 1 species
UCGCGGCCUAUCAGCUUGUUGGUGGGGUAGUGGCCUACCAAGGCGACGACGGGUAGCCGGCCUGAGAGGGUGACCGGCCACACUGGGACUGAGACACGGCCCAGACUCCUACGGGAGGCAGCAGUGGGGAAUAUUGCACAAUGGGCGAAAGCCUGAUGCAGCGACGCCGCGUGAGGGAUGACGGCCUUCGGGUUGUAAACCUCUUUCAGCAGGGAAGAAGCGAAAGUGACGGUACCUGCAGAAGAAGCACCGGCUAACUACGUGCCAGCAGCCGCGGUAAUACGUAGGGUGCAAGCGUUGUCCGGAAUUAUUGGGCGUAAAGAGCUCGUAGGCGGCCUGUCGCGUCGAUUGUGAAAGCCCAGGGCUUAACCCUGGGUCUGCAGUCGAUACGGGCAGGCUAGAGUUCGGUAGGGGAGAUCGGAAUUCCUGGUGUAGCGGUGAAAUGCGCAGAUAUCAGGAGGAACACCGGUGGCGAAGGCGGAUCUCUGGGCCGAUACUGACGCUGAGGAGCGAAAGCGUGGGGAGCGAACAGGAUUAGAUACCCUGGUAGUCCACGCCGUAAACGGUGGGCACUAGGUGUGGGCAACAUUCCACGUUGUCCGUGCCGCAGCUAACGCAUUAAGUGCCCCGCCUGGGGAGUACGGAGCC